UACGGAGGGUGCAAGCGUUAUCCGGAAUCACUGGGUUUAAAGGGUGCGUAGGCGGAUAGAUAAGUCAGAGGUGAAAGCUUCCAGCUCAACUGGAAAAUUGCCUUUGAAACUGUAUAUCUUGAAUUAUUUUGAGGUUAGCGGAAUGAGUCAUGUAGCGGUGAAAUGCAUAGAUAUGACUUAGAACACCGAUUGCGAAGGCAGCUAGCUAGGCAUAUAUUGACGCUGAGGCACGAAAGCGUGGGGAGCGAACAGG
rnacentral:rRNA from 1 species